GGCGACCGGCGCACGGGUGCGUAACGCGUAUGUAACCUACCUAUAACAGGGGCAUAACACUGAGAAAUUGGUACUAAUUCCCCAUAAUAUUCGGAGAGGCAUCUCUCCGGGUUGAAAACUCCGGUGGUUAUAGAUGGACAUGCGUUGUAUUAGCUAGUUGGUGAGGUAACGGCUCACCAAGGCAACGAUACAUAGGGGGACUGAGAGGUUAACCCCCCACACUGGUACUGAGACACGGACCAGACUCCUACGGGAGGCAGCAGUGAGGAAUAUUGGUCAAUGGACGCAAGUCUGAACCAGCCAUGCCGCGUGCAGGAAGACGGCUCUAUGAGUUGUAAACUGCUUUUGUACGAGGGUAAACUCACCUACGUGUAGGUGACUGAAAGUAUCGUACGAAUAAGGAUCGGCUAACUCCGUGCCAGCAGCCGCGGUAAUACGGAGGAUUCAAGCGUUAUCCGGAUUUAUUGGGUUUAAAGGGUGCGUAGGCGGUUUGAUAAGUUAGAGGUGAAAUCCCGGGGCUUAACUCCGGAACUGCCUCUAAUACUGUUAGACUAGAGAGUAGUUGCGGUAGGCGGAAUGUAUGGUGUAGCGGUGAAAUGCUUAGAGAUCAUACAGAACACCGAUUGCGAAGGCAGCUUACCAAA
rnacentral:rRNA from 1 species